rnacentral:rRNA from 1 species
UACGUAGGGUGCGAGCGUUGUCCGGAAUUAUUGGGCGUAAAGCGCUCGUAGGCGGUGUGUCACGUCGGCCGUGAAAACCUGCAGCUUAACUGUGGGCGUGCGGUCGAUACGGGCAUCACUGGAGUUCGGCAGGGGAGACUGGAAUUCCUGGUGUAGCGGUGAAAUGCGCAGAUAUCAGGAGGAACACCGGUGGCGAAGGCGGGUCUCUGGGCCGAUACUGACGCUGAGGAGCGAAAGCGUGGGGAGCGAUCCGG